CACGUAGGGCGCGAGCGUUGUCCGGAAUUAUUGGGCGUAAAGAGCUCGUAGGCGGCCUGUUGCGUCCGCUGUGAAAGCCCGGGGCUUAACCCCGGGUCGGCAGUGGAUACGGGCAGGCUAGAGGUAGGUAGGGGAGACUGGAAUUCCUGGUGUAGCGGUGAAAUGCGCAGAUAUCAGGAGGAACACCGAUGGCGAAGGCAGAUCUCUGGGCCGUAACUGACGCUGAGGAGCGAAAGCGUGGGGGAGCGAACAGG
rnacentral:rRNA from 1 species